GAAAUGCGAUACGCAAUGCGAAUUGCAGAAUUCCGCGAGUCAUCAGAUCUUUGAACGCAAGUGGCGCUGGUUUAACCGCCAGCAUGUUUGUUUCAGUGUGUUCGGAAUCACAAAACUCAGUGCGAUUGAAGGCAAUUUACUUUGCUUUCUCUCGUUAAACAUGGAGGCGCCGAGCCGCCGUCGAACGAAGUAGUCACUUGUAAAAGUGAUCUCGUGCGACAAAGCGCGCUCACUCAGGCAACUCAAUGAACACUACAAAAAUUGCAACCCAAUUUUUUCUCCACAACACCUGAAAUCAAGCAAGAUCACCCGCUGAACUUAA
rnacentral:misc_RNA from 1 species